rnacentral:rRNA from 1 species
UCACCUUGAGAUGGCCUUGCGGUGCAUUAGCUAGUUGGUGGGGUAACGGCCCACCAAGGCGACGAUGCAUAGCCGACCUGAGAGGGUGAUCGGCCACACUGGGACUGAGACACGGCCCAGACUCCUACGGGAGGCAGCAGUAGGGAAUCUUCCACAAUGGACGAAAGUCUGAUGGAGCAACGCCGCGUGAGUGAUGAAGGUUUUCGGAUCGUAAAACUCUGUUGUAAGGGAAGAACACGUACGAGAGGAAAUGCUCGUACCUUGACGGUACCUUACGAGAAAGCCACGGCUAACUACGUGCCAGCAGCCGCGGUAAUACGUAGGUGGCAAGCGUUGUCCGGAAUUAUUGGGCGUAAAGCGCGCGCAGGCGGCCUUUUAAGUCUGAUGUGAAAGCCCCCGGCUCAACCGGGGAGGGCCAUUGGAAACUGGAAGGCUUGAGUACAGAAGAGAAGAGUGGAAUUCCACGUGUAGCGGUGAAAUGCGUAGAGAU